rnacentral:rRNA from 1 species
CGUCUGCACCCAUGUUUUUUGCGUACUACAUGUUUCCUCGGCUGGUUCUCCAGCCGAUAGGAUCUCUUAAACUCAUUGUAAUUGCAAUCAGCGUCUGAAAAAAUUAAUAUUUACAACUUUCAACAACGGAUCUCUUGGUUCUGGCAUCGAUGAAGAACGCAGCGAAAUGCGAUAAGUAGUGUGAAUUGCAGAAUUCAGUGAAUCAUCGAAUCUUUGAACGCACAUUGCGCCCCUUGGUAUUCCAUGGGGCAUGCCUGUUCGAGCGUCAUUUGUACCCUCAAGCUAUGCUUGGUGUUGGGUGUUUGUCCUAUCCAUUGCGACUGGACUCGCCUUAAAGAUAUUGGCAGCCGGCAUUUUGGCCUUGGAGCGCAGCACAAUUUGCGAGUCCAAGUCGGAAUACUGACGUCCAGAUAAGCUUUUUACCACGUUUGACCUCGGAUCAGGUAGGGAUACCCGCUGAACUUAAGCAUAUCAAUAAGGCCGGA